rnacentral:rRNA from 1 species
GAGCAAACAGGAUUAGAUACCCUGGUAGUCCACGCCGUAAACGAUGAUAACUAGCCGUUGGAUUUAUCCAGUGGCGCAGCUAACGCAUUAAGUUAUCCGCCUGGGGAGUACGGCCGCAAGGCUAAAACUCAAAUGAAUUGACGGGGACCCGCACAAGCGGUGGAGCAUGUGGUUUAAUUCGAUGCAACGCGAAAAACCUUACCUACAAUUGACAUACUGCGAAUUUUCUAGAGAUAGAUUAGUGCCUUCGGGAACGCAGAUACAGGUGCUGCAUGGCUGUCGUCAGCUCGUGUCGUGAGAUGUUGGGUUAAGUCCUAUAACGAGCGCAACCCUUACCCUUAUUUGCCAGCGGUUCGGCCGGGAACUAUAAGGGAACUGCCGGUAAUAAGCCGGAGGAAGGUGGGGACGACGUCAAGUCAUCAUGGCCCUUACAUGUAGGGCUACACACGUGCUACAAUGGGAGAUACAAACGGUUGCCAAAGCGCGAGCUGGAGCUAAUCCGAGAAAGUCUCUCGUAGUCCGAAUUGCAGUCUGGAACUCGACUGCAUGAAGCCGGAAUCGCUAGUAAUCGCGGAUCAGCAUGCCGCGGUGAAUACGUUCUCGGGUCUUGUACACACCGCCCGUCACACCAUGGGAGUGCAUUGCACCAGAAGUAGAUAGCUUAACCUUCGGGAUGGCGUUUACCACGGUGUGGUCCAUGACUGGGGUGAAGUCAUAACAAGGUAGCC